CAGCCGCCGCGGUAAUACGUAGGGUGCGAGCGUUAAUCGGAUUUACUGGGCGUAAAGCGUGCGCAGGCGGCCCGUUAAGACAGGUGUGAAAUCCCUGGGCUCAACCUAGGAAUUGCGCUUGUGACUGGCGGGCUCGAGUACGGUAGAGGGGGGUGGAAUUCCUGGUGUAGCAGUGGAAUGCGUAGAGAUCAGGAGGAAAACCGAUGGCGAAGGCAGCCCCCUGGGCCUGUACUGACGCUCAUGCACGAAAGCGUGGGGAGCAAACAGGAUUAGAUACCCUGGUAGUCCACGCCCUAAACGAUGGGUACUAGCCGUUUGGUGAGCGAUAGCGCUGAGUGGCGAAGCUAACGCGUGAAGUACCCCGCCUGGGGAGUACAGCCGCAAGGUUGAAACUUAAAGGAAUUGGCGGG
rnacentral:rRNA from 1 species